GCCGACGUGGUGAAAUUGGUAGACACGCUAUCUUGAGGGGGUAGUGGACAUCGUCCGUGGCGGUUCGACUCCGCCCGCCGGCACCA
rnacentral:tRNA from 1 species